UACAGAGGGGGCAAGCGUUAUUCGGAAUUAUUGGGCGUAAAGGGCGCGUAGGCGGCCUGGCAAGUGGAAGGUGAAAUCCCUCGGCUUAACCGAGGAACUGCCUCCCAAACUGCUUGGCUUGAGACCGGGAGAGGUGAGUGGAAUUCCGAGUGUAGAGGUGAAAUUCGUAGAUAUUCGGAAGAACACCAGUGGCGAAGGCGGCUCACUGGACCGGUAUUGACGCUGAGGUGCGAAAGCGUGGGGAGCAAACAGG
rnacentral:rRNA from 1 species